GCGCGGGUGGCGGAAUAGGUAGACGCGCUAGCUUGAGGUGCUAGUCCCCAAUAUUCGGGGGUGGAGGUUCAAGUCCUCUCUCGCGCA
rnacentral:tRNA from 1 species